UUGAUGUAGAAAAGGAGAGAAAGUUAACACUCCUACGGCCUGCGACACACAAAUGCUGAAAGCAUUGCCACCUACUUUGUGGCAUAUUUUUAAGUGAAUUGCUUGU